GACGAAUGCUGGCGGCGUGCUUAACACAUGCAAGUCGAACGGAAAGGCCCUGCUUUUGGGGGGUUCUCGAGUGGCGAACGGGUGAGAAACACGUGAGUAACCUGCCCUUGACUUUGGGAUAACUUCAGGAAACUGGGGCUAAUGCCGGAUAGGAGCUCCUGCUGCAUGGUGGGGGUUGGAAAGUUUCGGCGGUUGGGGAUGGACUCGCGGCGUAUCAGCUUGUUGGUGGGGUAGUGGCUUACCAAGGCUUUGACGGGUAGCCGGCCUGAGAGGGUGACCGGCCACAUUGGGACUGAGGUACGGCCCAGACUCCUACGGGAGGCAGCAGUGGGGAAUAUUGCACAAUGGGCGGAAGCCUGAUGCAGCAACGCCGCGUGCGGGAUGACGGCCUUCGGGUUGUAAACCGCUUUCGCCUGUGACGAAGCGUGAGUGACGGUAAUGGGUAAAGAAGCACCGGCUAACUACGUG
rnacentral:rRNA from 1 species